rnacentral:lncRNA from 1 species
AUGUCCCACAACCACAAUAACAUUUCAUCAAGAUUCACUUCAUCAACUGUGUUUGUGGUAGAUGAAACUCUUGUCUAUGAUUCUACUAUUACCAACAACAUUCAAAGAACACGGUCAUUUAAUCCCCACCACAACAACAAUGUUACUAGAGCUUCUUCCCCUUUUAUCGAUGGUCAAAAUACUAGAACUUUUACUGCUGUGGGGAUGGGUGUUCAAGAACAUGUUACAACAUCAACAACAGAUGCAUAA